GAGGAUAUAGUUCAGUGGUGGAGCAUGUGAUUUGCAUGCACAAGGUGCUGGGUUCAAUACCCAGUCCCACCA
rnacentral:tRNA from 1 species